GACAGAGGGUGCGAACGUUGCUCGGAAUUACUGGGCGUAAAGAGCUCGUAGGCGGCUUGUUGCGUCAGCUGUGAAAACCUGCAGCUCAACUGUGGGCUUGCAGCUGAUACGGGCAGGCUUGAGUUCGGUAGGGGAGACUGGAAUUCCUGGUGUAGCGGUGAAAUGCGCAGAUAUCAGGAGGAACACCGGUGGCGAAGGCGGUUCUCUGGGCAUGUCCUG
rnacentral:rRNA from 1 species